AUAACAGAACCUAAUAAUUAUUGGUGCUAAGUUAUUUAAUAACAAAUUAAUAGUUUUGGAAAUUAUUCGAUAUGAUCUUUUUGAGUUUAUUCGUAUCUUGUGGUUUUGGGCUCGUGGGUAGUAUUGAUAUAAUAAACAUAGCCAACAUUUGGGGUACGGAUCCGUUGGGUAUUUUUGUUUCCUGGCUUAGUAUACAUUAUUCAUCAAAGCAUGAUGUCACUGGAUAUAAGGUCAAGUUAUGGACAGUCAAAAUGAAUACUGAAAAGAAAUACGAUUUGGUUAACGCUGAACAAUACCCUGGUUUGAUUCAAGACGAUAUUACCCUUGAGAAAUACCAGGUGAAUACUACACUGAGCAGCAUCCCGAGAGAGAUAAUAGUCAAUGGAAAUUUUCAAUCGCAGGUUCUUAUCACUGACGUAGAAUAUAACGUUAUGUAUGAACUUCGACUUCUAGCGUUUAAAGAUAAUAUCGAAGGACCUAUGUCUGAGCCCAGAAGGAUCAAAAUCGUUAAAGGAGACGGAUACCACGCAGUUAUCCAGAAACUUCCAACUGGAUGUUUGUUUUCAGUACCUAAUGUGUUACGUCACAAUGGCGAUGACUAUCCAUUUGUUCAGGACUCUUAUAUAUAAUUUCCAAGACAUUUUUUAAUCUAAGCAUUGUUAUGAAAUCUUCAGAAAUACACUUUUCCUGAAACUUUGUUUUUUUAUGUAAUAGGUAUCAAAUAAUCCGUCUAAUGGUAAUUGGUCACCACCGCCCAUAGACAUUAGCACUGUCAGAAAUAAUAACCAUUCCUUGGGAGCUAAGAUGUUAUGUCCCUUGUUCCUGUAGUUACGCUGCCUCAAUCACCUUUCAAAUCAGAACACAACAAUUCUAACUAUUGCUAUUUGGCGGCAGAAUAUCUGAUGAGUAACUACCAAGAAAAAUAAAUUCUAAGAUUCUACCACAUCCUCAAAGUCUUUCUUUUAUACAGAACCUUUCUCUUUAUAAGCAGUUCGCUUAUAAAAUGCCAUGACACCAAAUA